AAAUUUAGGUUAACUACAAACCAAGGACCUUCAAAGCCCUAAAUAGGACACCACCCCUAAUUUCUG
rnacentral:tRNA from 1 species